UACGUAGGGGGCAAGGCGUUGUCCGGAUUUAUUGGGCGUAAAGAGCGUGUAGGCGGCCAGGUAGGUCAGCUGUGAAAACUCGAGGCUCAACCUCGAGACGUCGGUUGAAACCACCUGGCUAGAGUCCGGAAGAGGAGAGUGGAAUUCCUGGUGUAGCGGUGAAAUGCGCAGAUAUCAGGAAGAACACCCGUGGCGAAGGCGGCUCGCUGGGCCGGUCCUGACACUGAGGCGCGAAGGCGUGGGGAGCGAACGGG
rnacentral:rRNA from 1 species